AGAGUUUGAUCAUGGCUCAGAUUGAACGCUGGCGGCAGGCCUAACACAUGCAAGUCGAGCGGGGUUUUCGGACCUAGCGGCGGACGGGUGAGUAAUGCGUAGGAAGCUACCCGAUAGAGGGGGAUACCAGUUGGAAACGACUGUUAAUACCGCAUAAUGUCUACGGACCAAAGUGUGGGACCUUCGGGCCACAUGCUAUGGGAUGCGCCUACGUGGGAUUAGCUAGUUGGUGAGGUAAUGGCUCACCAAGGCGACGAUCCCUAGCUGGUUUGAGAGGAUGAUCAGCCACACUGGAACUGAGACACGGUCCAGACUCCUACGGGAGGCAGCAGUGGGGAAUAUUGGACAAUGGGCGCAAGCCUGAUCCAGCCAUGCCGCGUGUGUGAAGAAGGCCUUCGGGUUGUAAAGCACUUUCAGCGAGGAGGAAGGGGUUGCAGUUAAUAGCUGCAAUCUUUGACGUUACUCGCAGAAGAAGCACCGGCUAACUCUGUGCCAGCAGCCGCGGUAAUACAGAGGGUGCAAGCGUUAAUCGGAAUUACUGGGCGUAAAGCGCACGUAGGCGGUUUUUUAAGUCAGAUGUGAAAGCCCCGGGCUCAACCUGGGAAUUGCAUUUGAAACUGGAAAGCUAGAGUGUGUGAGAGGGGGGUAGAAUUCCAAGUGUAGCGGUGAAAUGCGUAGAGAUUUGGAGGAAUACCAGUGGCGAAAGCGGCCCCCUGGCACAACACUGACGCUCAGUGCGAAAGCGUGGGGAGCAAACAGGAUUAGAUACCCUGGUAGUCCACGCCGUAAACGAUGUCUACUAGCUGUUCGUGGUCUUGUACUGUGAGUAGCGCAGCUAACGCACUAAGUAGACCGCCUGGGGAGUACGGUCGCAGAUUAAACUCAAUGAUUGACGGGGCCCGCACAGCGUGAGCAUGUGUUUAUCGACGCACGCGAGACUACUACUCUGACAUCUACAGACUAGCAGAGAUGCUCGUGCUCGACUGUAAGACAGUGCUGCAUGCCUGUCGUCAGCUCUGUGUGAA
rnacentral:rRNA from 1 species